rnacentral:RNase_P_RNA from 1 species
AGUUGGCCGGCCUGUCGCGUGCGCUUCGGGUGCAGGAGGAAAGUCCGGGCAACACAGAGCAUCCUACUUCCUAACAGAAAGCUGUCCGUGAGGGUAGAGUAACGUAGAAGAGAAUAACCGCCGUUUUUUUUAUUUGAAAACCGGUAAGGGUGAGAAGGUAGGGUAAGAGCCUACCAGCCACAUGGCAACAUGUCGGGCUGUACGUCUUAGGAGUUGUAAGGUCAUGUAUACCGGCGUUAUGAGAGUUGCUCGCUCCAUGUCGGAGGGUAGACCGCUAAAGUGGCAUGGUGACAUGUCGCUCAGAUAAAUGACAGGCACUUUAUAGAUUUGUCUAUGAAGUAACAGAACCCGGCUUACAGGCCGACUGCU